rnacentral:rRNA from 1 species
UACGUAGGGUGCGAGCGUUAAUCGGAAUUACUGGGCGUAAAGCGUGCGCAGGCGGUUUGCUAAGACAGGUGUGAAAUCCCCGGGCUUAACCUGGGAACUGCGCUUGUAACUAGCAGGCUAGAGUGUGGCAGAGGGGGGUGGAAUUCCACGUGUAGCGGUGAAAUGCGUAGAGAUGUGGAGGAACACCGAUGGCGAAGGCAGCCCCCUGGGCUAACACUGACGCUCAUGCACGAAAGCGUGGGGAGCAAACAGG